rnacentral:misc_RNA from 1 species
UCUUUUCUUUUGAUAAGAGAGUUUUUAAAACCAGUGUUAUUUAUGUAAGUUUAAGAGAAGUUUAUGUAUUAAAUUAUUGAUAUUAAAUAGGUUUAUUAGGCUCAGACUUAAUUUUAGGUCAUUUUGGGGGUUUAGCUCAGUUGGCUAGAGCAUCGGCUUUGCAAGCCGAGGGUCAAGGGUUCGAGUCCCUUAACCUCCAUUGGGCUUAUGCCCUAAAUUGUAAUUAAGUAUGUUUUUAAGUAACUUUGUUAAAGUAAUUGUUGGAAUGUGAAACGCAAGAAGUUAAAAUUUCUGGGUUAAGUUGAGAUCUGUUGAUAUUAAGAAGAAUCUCUAGAAGCAAAAGCAAGCUUUCGAUAAAACCCGAAGUUGUUUCGCUAAAGUGCAAGGAUUAAACAGGAUUGUAUUUUCCAGCAGCCUAUUUUAUAAACGAUCUGCAUUUAGUAAAUAGUUUUUAGUUAAGGAAUAAUGUAGAUUGCUAAGUGUGAUGUCUGAAAGAAGGACAAGUAUUUUAGCGAGCCUAAAUCCUUGUUAUCGUUGCCAGUAUUUAGUGGUAGGGAUUCGGAUAAGACUGCCAUUUAUAAUUUGGAGGAAGGCAAAGAUUGCAUUAAAUCGUUAUCGUUCUUAUGUUUUAGGUUACAAGUUUGCCACAAUAACCCAAAAAAGCUAAGCAAAAUGCUAUAAAGCAGAUUUCAGUUUGGAUUUGCCCGACACUCAAUGGCAUGAAGUUGUAAUUGUUAGUAAUCG